AUGGCCCCAGGUGAUCCAGGACUGAUCCAGGACAGCCCCAACACUCCUGUGCCAUCCUGGCGCGCUACGAGGCGCGCCACGGGCAGAUCUGAGCGAUUUGGGGAGUUUGGGAUCCACCUGGAGGGAUUUGGGGUGACCUCAGGUGAUCCAGGACUGAUCCAGGUGAUCCAGGAUGGCCCCAGGUGAUCCAGGACUGAUCCAGGACAGCCCCAACACUCCUGUGCCAUCCUGGCGCGCUACGAGGCGCGCCACGGGCAGAUCUGAGCGAUUUGGGGAGUUUGGGAUCCACCUGGAGGGAUUUGGGGUGACCUCAGGUGAUCCAGGACAGCUCCAGGUGAUCCAGGAGUGCCCCAGGUGAUCCAGGACUGAUCCAGGACAGCCCCAACACUCCUGUGCCAUCCUGGCGCGCUACGAGGCGCGCCACGGGCAGAUCUGAGAGAUUUGGGGAGUUUGGGAUCCGCCUGGAGGGGUUUGGGAUGGCUCCAGGUGAUCCAGGACUGAUCCAGGAUGGCCCCAGGUGAUCCAGGAGUGCGUGGAUGGAUUUGGGGACAGUUGGGAGAGAUCUGGGACAGCUCCAGGCGAUCCAGGACAAUCCGGGAUCCCAGCCAGGAUCCGGGACCGGGCACAGCACCGGGAUUGCGAGCUGGAUCCAGAACCCAGUGGGGAGAUCCAGAACCAGGACCCAGAACCAGGAUCCAGUGGGGAGAUGCUGAACUGGGACCCAGUGAGGGGAUCCAGAAGCGGGGUCCUGGAUCAGGACCCAGUGAGAAGAUCCAGAACUGGGACCUGGAACCAGAAUCCAGUCAGAACCAGAACCAGAACCCAGUAACUGGAUCCCAAACUGGGACCCAGUGGGCAGAUCCAGAACCGGGAUCCAGUGAGGAGAUCCACGACUGGGACCCAGCACCAGAACCCAGUGGGGAGACGCUGAACUGGGACCCAGUGAUGGGAUCCAGAACCAGGAUCCCGAACCAGAACCCAGUGGGGAGAUCCAGCCCCGGGAUCCAGCACCAGGACCCAGCAGGGAGAACCAGAACCAGGAUCCAGAACCCAGUGGGUGGAUCCAGAACCAGGACCCAGAACCAGGAUCCAGUGAGGGGAUCCAGAACCGGGAUCCUGGAUCAGGACCCAGUGAGAAGAUCCAGCACUUGGAUCCCCUGAGGAGAUCCAGAACCAGGAUUCGGAACCAGAACCCAGUGAGAAGAUCCAGAGCCGGGAUCCAGCGGGGAGAUCCAGCACCGGGAUCAGAACCAGGAUCCAGAACUGGGGUCAGAACUGGUAUCCAGAACCGGGAUCCAGUGGGGAGAUCCAGAACAGGAUUGGGAACCAGAACCCAGUGAUGGGAUCCAGCACUGGGAACCAGAAUCGGGAUCUAGCUAGGAGAUCCAGGAUUGGGAUCCAGAGCCGGGAUCCAGCUAGGAGAUCCAGGAUUUGGAUCCAGCACCGGGAUCCAGUGAAGGGAACCAGAACCGGG